rnacentral:rRNA from 1 species
GUGCCUACGGGGCGCAGCAGUGGGGGAUAUUGCACAAUGGGGGGAACCCUGAUGCAGCGACGCCGCGUGGGUGAAGAAGUAUUUCGGUAUGUAAAGCCCUAUCGGCAGGGAAGAAAUUGGACGGUACCUGACUAAGAAGCCCCGGCUGACUACGUGCCAGCAGCCGCGGUAAUACGUAGGGAGCAAGCGUUAUCCGGAUUUACUGGGUGUAAAGGGCGCGUAGGCGGGAUGGCAAGUCAGAUGUGAAAUCCAGGGGCUCAACCCCUGAACUGCAUUUGAAACUGUCGUUCUU